rnacentral:rRNA from 1 species
CCUACGGGUGGCUGCAGUGGGGAAUAUUGGACAAUGGGCGAAAGCCUGAUCCAGCCAUGCCGCGUGUGUGAAGAAGGCCUUCGGGUUGUAAAGCACUUUCAGUGGGGAAGAAAGCCUUGGGGCUAAUACCCUCGAGGAAGGACAUCACCCACAGAAGAAGCACCGGCUAACUCCGUGCCAGCAGCCGCGGUAAUACGGAGGGUGCGAGCGUUAAUCGGAAUUACUGGGCGGAAAGCGCGCGUAGGCGGUCUGAUAAGCCGGUUGUGAAAGCCCCGGGCUCAACCUGGGAACGGCAUCCGGAACUGUCAGGCUAGAGUGCAGGAGAGGAAGGUAGAAUUCCCGGUGUAGCGGUGAAAUGCGUAGAGAUCGGGAGGAAUACCAGUGGCGAAGGCGGCCUUCUGGACUGACACUGACGCUGAGGUGCGAAAGCGUGGGUAGCAAACAGGAUUAGAUACCCUAGUAGUC